ensembl:lncRNA
CCCCAAAUACAUGUUUGUCCAGCAUCAUCUGUAUUGGUGUUUACUCUGUCACCCUCCCAAACAUUGUGUUUGUUUUUUCUCUGUGGCUCUGAAACACUCAAAUUGCAUUUCUCAGAUGCUGGAUCCCCGGAGGAGUGCGUUCGGCGGCAGGUGUCUGAGGAAGUCAGAUCUCUGCUCCUGUUGUUUGGUUAGCGCUGGAAAAGUUUCUCUUCCCACUGACAUGGAAAAGUGGGAUAGAUCUCGGAGAAGCGUUGACGUUCCCAUCCAGAAGAAUUCCAGCACCCCCUAA